GAUUAUUACGGAAUGCGACUUUUUCGAUGCAAUUUUUUCAAUCUAGUACUACAUUUCAUGUCGUCAUCUCAAACAGUUCGAAUAACAUUCUCCUAUCUUCCAGCAGUUCUCAACAGAAGACGCUCCAAAGUCUACGCAAAUAACCUGGAGCAGAAGUCAGACAUGGAGGUAGCCCGGUUCGGGCUUAGUCAACGCAAGGCCAAGAAGUUGCUCUACCGGGGGUUCGAGUACGUCAAAGAUCGAGACUUCCCCGACUCGACUAAUUGGCGGUGUGCUCUGUUCCGGCGACAAAAAUGCCGCGCUCGUGCGAUAACCUCUACCAUCCAAGGUGUAACCUACGUAAGGCUGACCAACGACCAACACAACCACGAUUCACAAAUGUAUCGCAAGGCCUCGCUACUAAUGCCGAGGGACGGGCAGUGAAUAGGCGAGAGACCGUUAUGUUGAAUAAGAAUAGACAAAUUCCGUUAAUCCCUCUAGUACUUACAAUAUCACGCGGCGAUGGACAAAUAUAUUGUUUACUAAUCAUUUGGAUGUUUCAGUAACAACUGAAAUUUUAGCUAAGUUCAACAAUAAUUACACAUUGUAUAUUUAUUUGUUGCAGGUUGGAACACGAAUACACGGAGUGCUGCUAACCACAAAAGGAAGAACAAGUCCAGAUUUGUAGUACCACAUACAAGAAUAUUGGACCCAUCCUGCCAUACGGUCAGCUACAGUUUCAGUCAAACGGGUAAAGCCAUAGUCACCAUCGAUGGAUACAGGUUCCGCAGAUAUACAGCACACAAAUCGAGAAUCUACUGGAGAUGCACCAGAGUCAAAACCAAAAAGUGUCGAGCCAGAAUUACCACAUGUGCCGAUAGUUCAAAAAUGUUCUACAGCCUUCGGCCUCACACUCAUCCGCCGGACAUCUAGAAAUAAAUAAAGCACAGUGAUGAAGCUAACUGCCUUGCGAAGCGAGCACUUUGUACAAUAAACUGUUUAUGAGGCUUGUUUCAAAUAUAUGUCUCGAGCAGGAUAGCGACUUGCUAUUGACGAUAGUCGAAGGCCCGAGCAGUGUUGGAUAUGAGGAUGGAGAUGGUCUUCAUUAACGUCCAGCGUUGCUCAUGGCUAUUGGCGACAUUAAGUUGUACUAACAUUUUUAUUUUUAAUUCAUUAUUGCAGGUUUCAAUCCAUGGGCAUUGAAUUCUAUAAAACGUGCAAGACGUACCAGAGUCGUAAAACGCUGCUCGAGAGAAUUGGACCCAUCCUGUCAUACGAUCAGUCACGGUUUCAGCCAAAUGGGCAAAGUCAUAAUUACCAUCGAUGGGUACAGUUUCGGGAGGUCUUUCUCCCAGGGAACGAGAAUCUACUGGAAAUGCACCAAAGUCAUAACCCUAAAGUGUCCUGCCAGGAUUACCACGUGCGUAAAUAGUUCGAACAUAAUCCAUGGUGUUCGACCUCACAAUCAUCCGCCGUACGUUUAGGAAUGAAUCGUUAGAUGACUUUGAAAAAUAAAGCGCAAGAUGUUUGCAGUGCAAAACGUGAAUUUUGAUCGGCGAUCUCCUCUCAUCAAUCAUAUCUGACACACUUAUAUUCAAUGUUCGUUUUCCUCAACAGCCGAAAUCUCAAGGAAGUACCAGAACCCUCCGGCGGAAUCAGAUAGCGAUAGUGAUGACGGUUCUUAUCGAUCAACGCGCCUGCUAUCCCCGUUAGAUCUGCGAGUGGUGAGGGGCCGUUCGGGACGUCCAACGUUGCUGAUGGGUGGCCACGUUUUCACUCGCAAUAACACUCACAAAGAUAAAACCUAUUGUUUGUGCUCGAAGAGUCGCUCGCUGAAGUGCCGCGCCCGGAUAAUUACCCUGGACAGUAGUGGAGGUCUGGUUCUCAAGAAUCAGAUUCAUAACCAUUCGGCGGGGGGAAAUCACUAGUGCAGAUGUAAAAAUAAAGAAUAAAACACUAGAUUUUUUGUUUUUUUUUUUUUUUGUUCAUAUCAUUUAUACAUGCCGUACUAGAUUCUUCGAUUUCUCACUAACCACCGCCUAAUUCUCACCCCUUACAGGAAAAAUCGUCGUCAAGGAAAAGUCAACGGAAGAAAAAUUCUUUUUCGUCCGCACCGCCGAUGGUCGCUAUAAAAUUCAUGCAAAUGUCCCUUCAUCAAAAAUCAAGAAGGAAAAAGCACAUCCACAGCAGAAAAUGGUUAAUACUGGAACCAGACUAAUUCGAUCUGGAAUCAUCUUUCCCCUAAACGAAGGAACGGAAGUGGAACAGUUGGAACAACUUGUGAAGAAGGAUUCCACAAUCAGACAGGAAUAUAUUAAUGUUCUGAGGCUUAAGCCUAGGGAUACGCAAAUCGUCCAUUACAUGCACAACGUUUUCACGGAUAAUUCACUUAUUGACUACAAUUACAAUAAUGGCCAUGGCAAACGCGCCAUGCGAAUGUACGACAUAUUUUUCAAAUGCUUCAUGGAAGCGUACGAAGCGGAGGAACUUACAGAGUUCGAGCUUGCCUUCCAGCUGACGUCGGCGAUCAAGCAAAGCCGAAACCGGAUGCGGCAGCGCAUGUUUCGCGCUAGGAAAAUUGUGAAAGCAAGUUGUGAAAAGAGAAAGGGAACUCCAUUUGAGACUUGAUGAACUUGAUGUCUACCUUAAUGAUUCAAUUAUUUACAUUUUUAAGAUGCUCAGCUUCUUCAUUGUUUUUUUUAGUGCUCUUAGCCUUAUAAUGAGGUUCGGGAAUCAGUACUUUCUUUUUAUAAUGAAUUCUAACAUGCUUACAUUUAUUUUCAUCCUGAAGACAGGUUUAUUUUAUUUUGAAUAAGUGCUAAUGGAAUGCAAUCACUCUUACCACUACGAUACCAUACCUCAGAAAUACUUUACUUUGUAGAAGUAAUGUUUUCAUCAGAAAAUGUUCGAAUCCAACACUCAAGUAAAAAUAAAAUAAAAUUAAAAAAAAAACAAAUAAAACAAAAUUAUCUGUUAACGUGUAUUCUUCAGCAGAACAAGCUCCUUGAAACUAAAACUAAUUAUACCAACUCCUCCCCAUUCCAGAACAAGAGUUAGUGAUGAUAGAAAUCUGCUCCGAUGAAGCCACUCGGCAUGCCUCCGACGAUGAUGACCAAAUCAAAGCAACGUCCUCUGCUAAAGGUAAUACAGCAGCAAGGUCACUUCGGUUAGCGGGAUUCACGUUUCCUCUGAAACGUGCAGAAGACAUCGAACGCUUGGAGAAAGCCGUCGGAACAGAUGCAUUCAUUCGGAAAGAAUACAUUCGCUACGUGACAUCUCGGGUGGGCGAUCAUCGCAAUAUUCCAACGCACAUCAGAAGGCUUUUCAGCGAUAGAUCUCUGGAGAAUUACACGUAUCAUGGGGUUAGCAAUCCACAAUAUCCUCGCAAAGCAAUGAAAGACUAUGACAUCUUCACCAACUGUUUGCUAGUUGCAUGGGAGGACGAUGGCAUCACGGCGGAUGAACUGCGUACGUCGCUUAUCAAGGCAACACAAAAAGCGAAGCAGCAUUUAUCGUCGGCUCGGUACUACCAACGCUACCGAGAACAGCUACUAGAGAAACGGAUAGUCAGCUGGAAGAGCAAAAAGUUUAGUUCCGAGUAGUUGCUAGUCAACUGUGUUUGGUGAUAAAAUUUCGAAAAUGAAAUCUUGUAGAAAUAAACAAUCCAUUGUAAUUUACCAGUAUUCUGGUACUUCAUUGAUCAAAUUUUCGUCAAAAUAUUUGUUAUCGAGUUUAUUUAUAUUAAAAUUUCCAAUGCCCCUUGUGAGACUUUGCCCAAUACUACGACUAAAUCAAAAGGUACAUAUGUAUAACUUACAAAACAUUGAAAUUCUAUUAUCAUUCCAUUACCAUGUCUCCAGCAUCUCAAAUUUCUCGUGGCACAUGUUCCAUCAUAGUCUGAUUCUAUUGUAUAUCAGUUACUAAUUUUCAACAAGUGAUUUUCAGAAUCAUAAUAAUUUUCAAUAUUUUCCACCCAUUCUAGUACCACUCAAACAUCACAUGGCCGCCAAGCUCGGCUACACCCAGCGUGGGAAGACGCUGCUGCUGUACAACGGAUUCGCCUACGUCAAGGACCGCGAAGCCAUCAAAAGCUGCCACUGGAAGUGUUCACUGUACGGGAAGCUGAAGUGCCGUGCCAGGGCCGUCACCAAAACGGCGCUUGACGGCCAGUUGAUGAUGAAAAUCACCAAAUCGACCCAUAACCACGGCCAAGAUGCGUACAAAUUUGAACUUUCCACAGUGAAUAAACUUUGAUUCGGAUGUUAAUCGGUCGCGUUUUUCUUUGAAAGUGUAGCAUAACACCGUGAUCGCAGAACUUACCUCAUUUUCUGCACAUUCGUAGGUCUCUCUGGUGGAGCCUACUUUGGGAAAACCACGCAGGGCUGCCUUAUGCUGUGGCACGGCAACUACGGGUAUUUCCGCGAGAAGCAGAAGCACAACACCACCAACUGGAAAUGUGCCUGCUACACCAAAUAUCACUGCAAGGCGCGGGCUGUGACUAAGGAAAUCGGCGGACAGUACUACUUCCGCAUAACCUGUGAUGAACAUACCCAUCCUCCGUAUUCAAGCGGCUAUUGGCGGGCCAAAAGGAGAAACGAAGUGGCUCCGUUGACGUCGGUGGUGCACUGCAGUGGAAGGUGGUAGUGGCAAAACGGGAUACUAGAUUAUGAGUAUCGGAACAAUGAGUGUGAUAAUUAUCUGUACAUUUUAAUAAACAAUCAAGGACUGAAAGGUGCAAUUGUAUUCACUUAUAAAUAAGUUGAUCUAGUACUACAGCCUGAAACGCCAAAUGACUAAUAAUUUCCACACUUUCAGACGUUUCGUACAUACUUAACAAACGAGGAGCAACUCAGCUGUGCAUCAAUGGGUAUCCCUUCAUCCGUUCAAAAACAACCGAGGAUUACCAGUAUUGGACCUGCAGAGAAUACAAAGCUCUACGCUGCACGGCUCGGGCCGUUUCGGGUCGUCGAGAACGGAGGAACGAUCCUACCGUCAAGCUACGGGGCGUUCAUAACCACGUCGUUUUGAAGCGCCGUGAUGCGGAAGAAAGUGCAAAAGGUAUUGGAUGGUCAGCUUCCCUACAGAUGGGGGAUUUGAGGGUUCAGUGAUGGCGGUUUAAAUUGGUUAUAGAUUUAAGACGGAGGCUGCACAUGGAGCGAAGUCAUGCUUCAAAUUUCUCCCCAGAUUUCUGAGUUGACCCCGUAGGGGUUUUUUUUUGAAGAGAUACUGGCAAAUUGCUUGGAAAUGUGUUUUUGAUUAAAUUCUGGAAUUUCUUGUAAUUCCUUGAAAACUAAUGUUCUAGUAAGGACUUUUGCGAUUUACUAGGAUAAGAUUUCUGAUGAAAUCCUGGAGGGAUUCUUCAAGAGUUCCUCAUUCUUGUAAGAUCAUUAAAAAGUGUUUCAUCUCGAAAUCUUUUGAAAUUUCUGGCAGGAUUUUCAACAUUUUUUUUUAAAUCCUUGUCAGUUCCCCUAUAAGACCCAUGGUGAACAUAUAGAAAUGUUUUUGUUUUUUUUUCAAAUAAUGCCUUGUAAAACAUCUGGACCGUUUUUUAUAAGAUACUCUUGAGAGUUUCUUCAUAGAUUGAAACAAUGGUAUAGAUGCCAACUUUUGUUUGAUCAGACAUUUCAUUGAAUUGAUAUUUUAUUGAAUCUGAAACAAAUAUGAGAAAAAGAUGUAAUAUUAUUCAUUUUUGGUUUGUGCCGUAGUUGAUCUAGUACAUCAGCUUAAUUAACCAGAUUAUGUUUUCUUAU